AUUAGCUAGUUGGUGAGGUAAUGGCUCACCAAGGCGACGAUCAGUAGCCGGUCUGAGAGGAUGAACGGCCACACUGGGACUGAGACACGGCCCAGACUCCUACGGGAGGCAGCAGUGGGGAAUCUUCCGCAAUGGACGAAAGUCUGACGGAGCAACGCCGCGUGAGUGAAGAAGGUCUUCGGAUUGUAAAGCUCUGUCGUUUGGGACGAACGUAUUUCGUGUGAAUAAUGCGGAGUAAUGACGGUACCAAAGGAGGAAGCCACGGCUAACUACGUGCCAGCAGCCGCGGUAAUACGUAGGUGGCAAGCGUUGUCCGGAAUUAUUGGGCGUAAAGGGCGUGUAGGUGGGUAAUUAAGUCGUGUGUCUAAGUGCGGAGCUCAACUCCGUAUAGGCGCAGGAAACUGAUUAUCUUGAGUGCAGGAGAGGAAAGUGGAAUUCCCAGUGUAGCGGUGAAAUGCGUAGAUAUUGGGAGGAACACCAGUGGCGAAGGCGACUUUCUGGACUGUGUCUGACACUGAGGCGCGAAAGCUAGGGGAGCGAACGGGAUUAGAUACCCCGGUAGUCCUAGCCGU
rnacentral:rRNA from 1 species